GAAAUGCGAUAAGUAAUGUGAAUUGCAGAAUUCAGUGAAUCAUCGAAUCUUUGAACGCAUCUUGCGCUCCUUGGUAUUCCUUGGAGCAUGCCUGUUUGAGUAUCAUGAAAUCUUCAAAGUAAAUCUUUUGUUAACUCAAUUGGUUUCUACUUUGGUAUUGGAGGUCUUUGCAGCUUCACACCUGCUCCUCUUUGUUCAUUAGCUGGAUCUCAGUGUUAUGCUUGGUUCCACUCGGCGUGAUAAGUUAUCUAUCGCUGAGGACACUGUAAAAGGUGGCCAAGGUAAAUGCAGGUGAACCGCUUCUAAUAGUCCAUUGACUUGGACAAUACUUUUAUGAUCUGAUCUCAAAUCAGGUAGGACUACCCGCUGAACUUAAGC
rnacentral:misc_RNA from 1 species